rnacentral:rRNA from 1 species
GUACACGCUGUGACUAGCAUAUCAAUAAGCGGAGGAAAAGAAACUAACAAGGAUUCCCCUAGUAACGGCGAGUGAAGCGGGAAGAGCUCAAAUUUGAAAUCUUAAAGGGUUUCCCUUUACGAAUUGUAGUUUAAAGAAGUGUUUUCUGUUGAGGUUUUGGUAAAAGUUCUUUGGAAUAGGACAUCAUAGAGGGUGAGAAUCCCGUAUUUGACCUUUACUUUCAACUUUGUGAUACACUUUCAAAGAGUCGGAUUGUUUGGGAAUGCAGUCCAAAAUGGGUGGUAAAUUUCAUCUAAAGCUAAAUAUUGGCGAGAGACCGAUAGCGAACAAGUACCGUGAGGGAAAGAUGAAAAGAACUUUGAAAAGAGAGUUAAACAGUACGUGAAAUUGUCAAAAGGGAAGCGUUUGACACCAGUGUUGUUUUUCUGAAAAUCAAUUAAAGAACUGUUUAUGCUAAGCUGUUUAGACUUUAUCAGCUAUCUGUUUAGUUUUGAGCUUUUCUUUAAUGCACUUUUCAGUUAACAAGUCAACAUCAAUUUCUUUUGCUGUAAAAAAGCUUGAGGAAGGUGGCUUGAGAUUCGUCUUAAGUGUUUAUAGCCUCUUGCCUACUGCAGUCGGAGAGAUUGAGGUCUGCAGCGUAGAUCCUUCGGGGCUAAAUGCAUUUGUGCUAAGUUAUAGCAUUUUAUAGACAACUUGUUGACUAUGAUUUGUCUUGUAGCUUACUCGCUUAUGUUAUUUUACCUACGCUUAGGAUGUUGAUAUGCAUGACUGAUAU